UUAGUCUUAGUCCUAUGUCUGAUAAAACAAGGCCUAAAAUCUUGGCCACACAACAUCAUUCUAGUUGGAUCAGACAUGAAGUUGCAGGGAUGGCCAGUCAUAUCUGUCGACUCUACCAUUUCAUCACAGACAAAAGCACCAGCAAUUGAAUUAAAGGCUCCCACUAUUAGCGCCAGAGACGCAAAAAGAGGAGCUGCAAGUUGAGUGCUAAUAGUUCAGCUCAAGGCUGCACUGGAGAUGGUAAUUAUUGUUAAGGUAUUGAGAUUUCAUGUUUUAGAAUUAGCCCCAAUAUCAAACCAUAGCAUUGAAUUUGAUGAGUGGAAAUUAAUAAGCAUCUGCUAUAGUAACUUGGUUAGAUAUCUUCUGCUUCUCAAAAGUAGUUGACACUUAAACAGGAUGCAUUUCACUUCCUGUCACAAAACUGUUGAGAAUCGAACAAUGUGCUUGUGUUUAAGUUUGUGAACACGGAGUUGGUGAAUAUGUUGCUACAGAAUUGGGUUCCAAGUUCUAUUGAUCUUCUCUACCUUUUGCCUCUAAUCAUGGGAAAAAUGAUUUAUUGUCUGAGUGGAUGCCUGUAAACUCCUGCAAGAGUUGUUCUGAAAAUAGAGAAUUCCCUCAGGGUACUUCAAAUCCAUCGAAUACCAGUAACUCUUGCGCAACUCCUGUAUCAAAAGAGAUGUGCAAGCGAAUAAAACUCCAGAAAGAGUCUGCUAAAGUAUUCCCAGUUGAGCCAGAAACGGAUGAAGCACACACUGAUACAUUCAAGAGUGGUCAUAUAAAGACAGAUAUUAAUCCUGGAAAUGAUGAUAAAGUUGAAGCUUUUAUCAUUUCUGGUGAAAAAAUCGACAAAGGCAUUGGCAGCGAAUGCCCCAUUGAUGAGCUCUUGGUAUUAGGUGAAAAUAUCCCAAUAAGAGAUCUAUGGAUUUCUGUUCUCAGAAGUCAUGGGCUGCUUGUGGGAGAUUGGUCUAAGAGUACCAGUGCUCCCUCUAAAGUACUAAAAUGAAAAGGGUAGCAACAUUUUCCAAUCCUGUGAGCUGUGUGGUAAUUUAGAUAAUCGGCUGUCCUGAAUUUAAAUUUGGUCCAAUAGCGUUCAUGUUAAAAUACCCUGAGCCAUAUACAUCUCGUGUUAGAAUUCGUGAAUCUUUUCAAGCAGCAGUUCCUGAAUGGUCUGAUCAAAUUUCCAAGAAGUAUUAUUAAUGAGCCUUGCGGUGAAAAUUGUUCUUUUCCAGUGAUGCCCUACAGACGAAUAUCCGAGUACCAACUCUUUUAGUAACUGGCUCCAAUGUCGAGAAGUCCGACUUGAUGGUACAGGAGAAUGUGCUGAAGGAACCAUAUGUGGGAAGUGGCGAAGGUAAGAUCUUCAAACCCAUGUGCAUAGCUUGUGUUACCAUUUAUGUUUUGCAUGAAAGUUCUUAGAAGUUUGAUGUUGUGAUUAUAGAGCUACUUAGAUAAGGAUCACCGGAUUAGACCCUUUUUUUUGUGGUUUGUUCGAUCAAUUAACAUCUGUAGAUGUCUUGUUGGUUACUUCAUCCUAUUAAGCUUACACUGAAGUUGAUGAGGUUUUCUGAAGUCCAACCUGAUGAUUGGGAUUGUUUUUGCUCGGUUCUUUGGGAUCCAUGAGUGGGAUUGUUUUUCUAACACCUCGACCUCAUGGCCAAGUAGAGAUGUUCUCCUCCGACCAGAGCUAGCGAGAAAUAAAUCCCAAAAGUGAAGUCACGAUUCCUCCAAACUCCAUUGAAGGAAGUGUAGCAUUUUGCUUUAUUACCUGCUUUUUUAAACAUAUUUUUAUUGUACCUUUGGCUUACUUGUGCAAAAGAAUUGUUGUCAGAUGAAACAUUCAUGUGCAUGAUUUUGUUUAGCCUUGUGGCACAUGUGGAAGUUGUUCCUUUAAGAAAAGUAUAGGUGUAAGUUGUUCUUUGUGCAUGAUUUUAUUUUUAAGAGACUGUUUAACAGAGUGAUAAUGUUUGCAUA